rnacentral:rRNA from 1 species
GUCCUGCUGAAGGUUUAGCAGGUCUGGCCUGCCCACUGAGUAUUAAAGGGCCGCGGUAUCUUGACCGUGCGAAGGUAGCAUAAUCAUUAGUUUUUUAAUUGAAGGCUUGUAUGAAUGGUCGGACAAGAAAUAAGCUGUCUUUGUAAGAUUUGUUGAAUUUAACAUUUAAGUAAAAAGGCUUAAAUAAAUUAAGGGGACGAUAAGACCCUAUAAAGCUUUAUAAUUAUAUUUGUUUUUUAAGAAUUAUUGUAAAAAUUGAUUUACUGGUAGAAUUAUUUUGUUGGGGCGACAAAGGUAAAAGUUUUAUUAUCUGCUUUGAUUUUAUAACAAAUGAUUUUUGUAAUAUUUAAUUGAUCCUAAUUAUAGAUUAUAAGUUUAAGUUACUUUAGGGAUAACAGCGUAAUUUUUUUUGAGAGUUCAUAUUGAGAAAAAAGUUUGCGACCUCGAUGUUGAAUUAAGUUAUCUUCUUGUGUGCAGCAGCUAGGGUAGAUGGUCUGUUCGACCUUUAAAAACUUACAUGAUUUGAGUUCAAACCGGCGUAAG